GAGCUGGGGGGCAGGGUCCCCGGUGAAAGCGGUUGGUUUACUGAUGGUGUCCUGUCUUUCCCCCUGCAGGCAUCCCCCCGACGUGAAAGGGUUCCGGAAAUUCAACAUCCUGACGUCCACCAGCAAGACACUGGUCCAGGAUGAUCCGCAGAUGGAGGGGCUGGUCUGCGACUUCCGGCACAUAUCGCUGAAGGACCAGAGGGCCGGGGCCUCGGGCAAAGGCAGCAAAGG
rnacentral:lncRNA from 1 species